AAAAAAAAGAGUGUUCAUGUAGUUGCAUCACAUUUAGGAUCGAGUCUAGAGUGUUUCAUUUAGGAUUGUUGCAUAUGCAUAGGGGAUGAUGAUGAGAUAGUCUUGUAAGCAUUUUGAUUCACCGGAUAAACUCAGUGCCCUCGUUGCUAGUUGUCUGUUGAAUAGUCAAUGAAUUU
rnacentral:sRNA from 1 species